CUCUCAGUGGAUACACUGGCUCAGCUUAUCUGGGCCUCUUAUCAUUUUUGUCUCAUACUCAAAUGGACCUGUGAGGCGUCCAAUCCAACACUGAGUUGGACAGAUUAGUGCUCUGUUACUGAUGCAGCUUUGCUUUUUGGGGUUAUGGGGAGGUCAAUCUAGCAUUUUAUUACCCAUUACAAAAUGACACACUAGAUCAUAGUCUUAUGAUAGGUAAGGAAAGUAGCAUUUAAAGUACUUGUGAAGAACGAAGAAAGUAUUUUGGUUUUUCUUCUGCAUUUGCAUUAAACAAAAAAUAAUUCAGAAAUGACCUUUGUUCAUAUUUUUUGCUGUAACCAAAAACAUGAGGAAGUAUUCAUGAAAAUGCACAAAUUAUUUGUUUCCAGUAUGUUACGGAGCCAAUUUCCUUUGAAGAUUUUGGAGUUCCCAUUACUGUUGAUUUCCUUGUCUGCAUUUGACAAUUACUAAAGCUGUAAUUUCCUUGUUUCAACCCAAAAAAAAAAAAAAAAAAAAAAAAAUCAGGUAGAAUGUCAGUGUCAAGUGUACAUUUUUUGCAUAAAAGGUGAAAACAAAGUUCAAAAAUAAUUUGAACAUCAAAAUAUUAAAAGCAUAUAAACCAGCUCUACCACUGCUGCAAACCCAAAGCAGCUAAAUAAGAGUGUCCAUCUUUACAUUUCAUUUAAAAAUCAAAUUAAAAUAAAGACUGCAGGAUCAAAUGUCCACACUGGUAUUUUCUUUUUUCCCCAGAAUACUCAUGAUACUGUCUUGGACACAGUUCGUUAUCAGCAGCACAACUGAGAUUGAUGACAGAUGACAAUAAAGUUCCGGAUAGAUCUGACAGUUACUCAUUUUCUGGCCUUGUUUUCUUUUUAGACAGGUUUCAUUUUACAAAAAUCUAUUGUUUUCAAAAAGUUAGUUUCGUAAACUCUGGUGUAAUCAUAAAUGUUUCCAUUCAGUCAAAACUGUGAAAUAAAUAUACUAAACAGAUCAAUCCUAGGCUAUAUAAUAUUUGUGCAACAGUUUUUUUUGGGGUUUUUUUUAAAUGCAAUUUGCUGGACCAGGCUGAAGCUGGACACGGCGAAGCCGAAGCUGGACCAGGCGACGGCAAAGCUGAAGCUGAAAACUGAGCAGGUAGCAGAGCUGACAGAGCUAGAGACUGAGCUAAUGACUGAAGUAGAGGUUGUAGUAAUGGCAGACAACAAGGUAACUGAUCCAAUUCUCCUGAGCUUCCUGAACACAAGGAAAAAGGCUGGACGGGCUCACUAGCAGAACCUCAGCUGGCCUGGGAGCAGGGACAGGAGUCAUGGAUGCAGGCUCAGAAAAACAGUCUUUUGAGGUGUCACAUGAACAGUUUCAGUGGAUAUCGACACAAAAAACCCACACACCAUGGUGAGCUGAUUCAAACAUGAAUGGCCGUGGAAGACAAAACUUAACUUGAUCCAUUAGCUCUGAGGCAGUAAGUCCAAGUAGUUUAGCCAGUUUAAAUAUGGUGGAUGGCACCUUGUUAUCUGUAACGUUCUCACCAGUCACAUCAUAC
ensembl:lncRNA